UUGCUCUGGCAGCACACAUACUACAACUGGAACAAUAUGGAGAAGAUUAGCAUGGCUCCUGUGCAAGGAUGACAUGUAAAUUCAUGAAGCAUUCCAUAUUUUU